rnacentral:rRNA from 1 species
CGGGUCCUAGGGACGCAGCAGUGGGGGAUAUUGCACAAUGGGGGAAACCCUGAUGCAGCGACGCCGCGUGGGCGAAGAAGUAUUUCGGUAUGUAAAGCCCUAUCAGCAGGGGAGAAGAAAUGACGGUACCUGAGUAAGAAGCACCGGCUAAAUACGUGCCAGCAGCCGCGGUAAUACGUAUGGUGCAAGCGUUAUCCGGAUUUACUGGGUGUAAAGGGAGCGCAGGCGGCACGGCAAGCCAGGAGUGAAAGCCCGGGGCCCAACCCCGGGACUGCUCUUGGAACUGCAUGGCUGGAGUACAGGAG